rnacentral:rRNA from 1 species
CACUCCUACGGGAGGCAGCAGUGGGGAAUUUUGGACAAUGGGCGAAAGCCUGAUCCAGCCAUGCCGCGUGCAGGAUGAAGGCCUUCGGGUUGUAAACUGCUUUUGUACGGAACGAAACGGCCUUUUCUAAUAAAGAGGGCUAAUGACGGUACCGUAAGAAUAAGCACCGGCUAACUACGUGCCAGCAGCCGCGGUAAUACGUAGGGUGCAAGCGUUAAUCGGAAUUACUGGGCGUAAAGCGUGCGCAGGCGGUUAUGUAAGACAGUUGUGAAAUCCCCGGGCUCAACCUGGGAACUGCAUCUGUGACUGCAUAGCUAGAGUACGGUAGAGGGGGAUGGAAUUCCGCGUGUAGCAGUGAAAUGCGUAGAUAUGCGGAGGAACACCGAUGGCGAAGGCAAUCCCCUGGACCUGUACUGACGCUCAUGCACGAAAGCGUGGGGAGCAAACAGGAUUAGAUACCCUAGUAGUCC